rnacentral:rRNA from 1 species
GACGAACCGUGCGAACGUUGUUCGGAUUCACUGGGCUUAAAGGGCGCGUAGGCGGGUCCUCAAGUCCGGGGUGAAAUCCUCUCGCUUAACGAGAGAACUGCCCCGGAUACUGGAGACCUCGAGGGAGGUAGGGGCAUGUGGAACUUCCGGUGGAGCGGUGAAAUGCGUAGAUAUCGGAAGGAACGCCGGUGGCGAAAGCGACGUGCUGGACCUUUUCUGACGCUGAGGCGCGAAAGCCAGGGGAGCAAACGGG